UACAGAGGGGGCAAGCGUUGUUCGGAAUUACUGGGCGUAAAGGGCGCGUAGGCGGCCUGCUAAGUCGAACGUGAAAUCCCUGGGCUCAACCCAGGAACUGCGUCCGAUACUGGUUGGCUUGAAUCCGGGAGAGGGACGUGGAAUUCCAGGUGUAGCGGUGAAAUGCGUAGAUAUCUGGAGGAACACCGGUGGCGAAGGCGGCUACCUGGACAGAUACUGACGCUGAGGCGCGAGAGCGUGGGGAGCAAACAGG
rnacentral:rRNA from 1 species